UACAGGGGGUGCAAACGUUGCUCGGAAUCAUUGGGCGUAAAGCGCACGUAGGCGGUCUGUUAUGUCGGAUGUGAAAGCCCUUGGCUCAACUGAGGAAGUGCAUCCGAAACUGGCAGGCUAGAGUACUAAAGAGGGUCGCGGAAUUCCCGGUGUAGAGGUGAAAUUCGUAGAUAUCGGGAGGAACACCGGUGGCGAAGGCGGCGACCUGGGUAGAUACUGACGCUGAGGUGCGAAAGCGUGAGGAGCAAACAGG
rnacentral:rRNA from 1 species